AUUGAACGCUGGCGGCAGGCCUAACACAUGCAAGUCGAGCGGAGCGGGGACGGGUGAGUAACACGUGGGUAACCUCCCAUCAGAGGGGAUAACACUUGGAAACAGGUGCUAAACCGAUACUGAUGGAUGGACCCGCGGUGCAUUAGCUAGUUGGUGGGGUAACGGCUCACCAAGGCCACGAUGCAUAGCCGACCUGAAAGUGUGAACAGCCAAACUGGGACGGGGACACGGCGCAGACUCCUCCGGGAGGCAGCAGUAGGGAAUCUUCGGCAAUGGACGAAAGUCUGACCGAGCAACGCCGCGUGAGUGAAGAAGGUUUUCGGAUCGUAAAACUCUGUUGUUAGAGAAGCGGUAUCUAACCGGAAAGCCACGGCUAACUACGUGCCAGCAGCCGCGGUAAUUC
rnacentral:rRNA from 1 species